UGCACCCCAUAAAACUCUUUUCUACAUUCCAUAAUUAUCCUCCUCCUCCUCCUCGCGCAUGGCGCCAUAGUGGUGGAUCAUGAACUAGGUGGUAUCUCUGAUUCCUGCGGUGCUUUUGCCCUUUUAGCUGUGGCCUUCAUCCCCCCUCUCUCUCCCCGAUCUCCAUCUAAAUCCAUAUACGCAAACAUUCUGGCAGCGCAUUCAGUACUGCCAUCACCAAAAAGCAAGUAUGCAAGAAGAAGGCCUACAACGCUCUGCUAACGUCCAUUCACUGCCCUACUCCUGCAGCGGCCGAAACAGCAACAGCUUCCUGCUCCUGUGACUCUCUCUCUCCCUGCUCACUGACACAUACACAGGCAUCAUAUUUAGCAUACAGGUCUAGUCUUGCCACAAUCCAUGCCCUACAGAUCGACGCCAUGCCGACCGGGGACUUCCCAUGCUUCUCCCUCACCAAGGAACCAUGAACCUUCCAUCCCCUGAUUGGAGCCCAUACAUGGCCCCUCCUCCUGCUUUUAUGAUCUGGAGCUGGAGCGGAGCGGAGGAAAGCUAUGGCGCGAGCAGGCCUCUGUCAGCUCGAUCCCCCACGCCACUAAGCCGCAGCACGCAGACCUCGCCUCCCCGCCCCACCUCCCCCUGUAAAUUUCAAAAAGAUCGAAAUUGCAUGAGAGCGAACCAGGACCACGGUCGACGAUUUCAAGCCGCAGCAACGAGAACCGGUUUAGCUCGUCUACCGUCGCAGACAGCCGCUGCUAAAUUUACGGGUGUGUGUGUCACCUUGUAGUGGAGUGCGCCUGCGCGCGCCUGCGAUGGACUCCGUACAGUCGCACCUCCUCGGGCCCACCACCGCCGCGCGGCGGAGCCCGCUUUCCAACCUCCAAUAAUUCGUCUCUCUCUUAUUAACAGGUUUUAGAGAAGGGUCAAAUACGCAAGCAAGGAAGCAAGAAAAUUAGCUGCCAACCUUUCGCAAAUCUAUUAAAAAAAACACCUACCCAUGCACGGAACGAACUAAUGGCAGAGACAAAAGAUGCGGGGAACAUCUACUCCGGAGAAGGCAAACGAGAAGAAGCGAUGGGCAAAUCCGGUUCGAGAAUCAAUUAUUGGACGCUAACUCUUGACUUUGGUUGGUUCGGAUAUCACCAUCGAGUAAUUGACGCGUCCAGUUAUAGGUCACGAGAGCGCUGUACUGGCGAGCGUGUACGAAAAGAGUAAAAGGCGAAGGCAAAAGGAAAGGAAGAGAAAGGAAAGGGAAGGAUAGAGAAGGGAAGGGAUGGAAAGUUAGUAAGAAAGGAAGUGGAGUAAUCCGGAAGGUACUCUCACUCCAAGCCCCGCCAGAGGAAUUGAAGAACUCCACUUUUUUUUUUUAUUUUUAGUAAAAAACAAAGGGAAGGGAAGAAAUAAUUAAGUCGGUAAACAAAAAAAAAAAAAAAGUGUGUGAGAGAGGGAUUUUAGUGUGUAGGGUUAGAGUGAAGCAGAAGAAUUGGUGGGUGUAGGCAGAGAAAGGAAAGCGAGAGGAGGGAGAGUAUCGAGAGAAUAAAAGCAGGCGGGGUGGCUUCUGGAAGGCGCUUCCCUUCGGAUACCGGCGCGUUCGCGGACUGGGCGCAGUCCUCCGCCGACCGGGGCGACGAUCUCUGCCUCGGAUUCAAUGCGGGCGGCGGCAGCGGAGCCGCCGGGGGCGUGGUUUGGGCGGCCGCCGGUAGCUCCGCUGCAGCUGGUGGCGGCGGGCGGCAGACCGUCAAUUACGGCAUCCCUGCCGAUAUGGGCACGGUGGUGCUCGCCUCCGCCGCGUCCUUCCACCCGCAGCACCACCACCACGAAACAUUACUCUCUACGGCGGCAACGGAGCACCACCCAGCCAUCAUCCCCCUCCUCGCCGCUACCCCGUGCAUCGUCGACGACGACAACCCCGCCGCCCAGGGUAAGCUAGGCGGUGGGAUCCACGUCUGGCAACCGGCUCAGCCGCAGGCGACCACGUAUCACCACCACGGUCACCCGUUUCCCCCAUACCAUGAAACCAACCCUAACCCUAGUCCUAACCCUACCCUCUAUAAUUACCUACGGAAGCCGGUGCCGAUGCUGGAAUCCAGAGUAAUUCUCGGAGCCACCACCGGCGCAGGUGUGUUCACGUGCCAGGACUGCGGCAACCAGGCCAAGAAAGAUUGCAGCCACCGCCGAUGCCGGACUUGCUGCAAGAGCCGAGGGUUCGACUGCUCUACUCACGUGAAGAGCACUUGGGUUCCCGCUGCGCGCCGUCGCGAGCGCCAACUAGCUGUUACCGCUGCAGCUGGCUCCUCCACCUCCACCUCCGCAUCCAAGAAGGCCCGCCUUGUAUCUUCUCAGCCCGCCACCGCCUCCCACACCUCCACUUCCAACACCACUCCUCGUAGCUUCGACACCACCUCCAGCCACCAAGACGCCGGCGUCAAAGAGAACCUUCCCGGCCACGUGCGUGCCCCAGCGCUGUUCAAGUGCGUGCGUGUGACGUCCAUCGACGACGGCGAGGACGAGUACGCCUACCACGCCAUGGUCAAGAUCGGCGGCCGCGUCUUCAAAGGCUUCCUCUACGACCACGGCCUUGACGACGGCGGCGGCCACUCUGACGACGGAAAGGAAGGUUCCAUACCGAACCUCUCGGAGCUACACCUCGGAAACCGCUUAGCCGGCGCUUCCUCAUCGUCACCGAUGCUGCCAUCGUCGUCGGACGCCUUCGGCGGAGGAUUGGUUGGAAGCGCCAACUACGAUAACCAAAUAAACUGAUGAAUCAUCCCGAUGCUUUGUUGUAACAGUAUGUUCCUUUAUCUUUCUUCCUUCAUUUUACUUGCGGCGAUUAUAUUUCCUCUUUAAUUACUAAAUAUUAUACAUUUCACGGGGAUGAUACUGUCUCAUUUCUUCCUGGCCAUUAUUCAUCGCUGUCCAAUCAUCAUUAUUUGUUGCACUAUUACUACCGUCUUCUUCUCCUCUUUCCUUUCUAAAUAGAGAAAGGAAUUUGGUGCAACGUAAAUUGCAUUGCUCAUGUCGCUCUUUGGGCCAUCUCCUGCCCUACCCGCGACUGUUCUCUUCAUGUAUAGUUAGACUUGCAAAUCUUCUUGGGUAGUUCUUUUGAGGAGGUGUAUGGCCAAGGAAGUUGCAUCGAGACUGGUGGAGAAUUUUUUUAUCGAACUUUGUGUGUAUUAAGUUCCAAGUUAAAGCAUGGCUGCUUUCGGCUGUUUCUUUUCCAAGGCCGGAUGGGUGGCUUGGUAUGGCCGCAAGUUUUCUGUUCAUCCUGUUCCUUUUGUCAUCCCGUCCAGUCUUGCCACUUCACAUCAUAAUAGCUCGAGAAUCUGGACAGUGUGUGUAGUAUGGCGGUGUAUACGGAAUGGUUUCAUCAAGUGUCAGUUCUCUUUUUCUGCAUCGGUCUAUGGGGAAAGCAUGCGUUGAUCUAAAGAGAGCAAGAGGUGAGAACGGAAGGACUGGAUGGAGAUAGACCACGGUGGCAAUCAUGAUGAUAGAGGCACUAAAUCUAGUUGACAUUGGCCUUAAUAUUAAGUACCAUGUAAAGGGAUCUAGUUGGACUAUGGAUGCACACUCGAGAAAUGUAGUCGAACGAAAUUGUUUGAUAGACACGGAGUUGCUCACUCACUUUCAUGGAAUGGUCAGGCAAAAUUAUGACAGUCAAGUGAAGGAGAGAUAGAAGUGUAUAUGGAGGAUGAGAAGAGACUGGCAUGAAAGAGAAUGAGAGGAGACGAAGGAUAUAGUAUAGAUUGCUUAAUUGAGAGUGUAAAAUUCAAGUGAUGAAUAAGAAUAUGUCGUGUAAAACUCAGAGGUUCAA